rnacentral:rRNA from 1 species
GACGAACGCUGGCGGCGUGCUUAACACAUGCAAGUCGAACGGAAAGGCCCUGCUUUUGUGGGGUGCUCGAGUGGCGAACGGGUGAGUAACACGUGAGUAACCUGCCCUUGACUUUGGGAUAACUUCAGGAAACUGGGGCUAAUACCGGAUAGGAUCUCCUGCUGCAUGGUGGGGGUUGGAAAGUUUCGGCGGUUGGGGAUGGACUCGCGGCUUAUCAGCUUGUUGGUGGGGUAGUGGCUUACCAAGGCUUUGACGGGUAGCCGGCCUGAGAGGGUGACCGGGGACAUUGGGCCUGAGAUACGGAGCAGACGCCAACGGGAGGCAGUAGUGGGGAAUAUUGCCCAAUGGGCGGAAGUCUGAGGCAGAAACGUCGGGUGUGGGAUGCCGGCUUGUGGGUUGUAAAAAGCUUUCGGCUGUGACGACGCGUGAGUGACGGUAACGGGUAAAGAAGCACCGGCUAACUACGUG